rnacentral:rRNA from 1 species
GACGAACGCUGGCGGCGUGCUUAACACAUGCAAGUCGAGCGGAAAGGCCACUUCGGUGGUACUCGAGCGGCGAACGGGUGGGUAACACGUGAGUAAUCUGCCCUUGGCUUCGGGAUGGCCACCGGAAACGGUGAUUAAUACCGGAUAUGACCACUUCCUGCAUGGGAUGGUGGUGGAAAGUUUUUCGGCCAGGGAUGUGCUCGCGGCCUAUCAGCUUGAUGGUGAGGUAAUGGCUCACCAUGGCUUCGACGGGUAGCCGGCCUGAGAGGGUGACCGGUCACACUGGGACUGAGACACGGCCCAGACUCCUACGGGAGGCAGCAGUGGGGAAUAUUGGACAAUGGGCGGAAGCCUGAUCCAGCAACGCCGCGUGAGGGAUGACGGCCUUCGGGUUGUAAACCUCUUUCAGCAGGGACGAAGCGCAAGUGACGGUACCUGCAGAGGAAGCACCGGCCAACUACGUGCCAGCAGCCGCCGUAACAC